rnacentral:rRNA from 1 species
AGAGUUUGAUCCUGGCUCAGAACGAACGCUGGCGGCAGGCCUAACACAUGCAAGUCGAAGGAGAAGUUUCUCUUCGGAGAGAUGGACACUGGCGCACGGGUGAGUAACGCGUGGGGAUCUACCCCGGGGUGGGGGACAACCGCUGGAAACGGCGGCUAAUACCGCAUACGCCUUAAGAGGGAAAGCUUUAGCGCCCUGGGAUGAACCCGCGUUAGAUUAGGUAGUUGGUGGGGUAACGGCCUACCAAGCCGACGAUCUAUAGCUGGUCUGAGAGGAUGAUCAGCCACACUGGGACUGAGACACGGCCCAGACUCCUACGGGAGGCAGCAGUGGGGAAUAUUGGACAAUGGGGGCAACCCUGAUCCAGCCAUGCCGCGUGCGUGAAGAAGGCCUUAGGGUUGUAAAGCGCUUUCACUGGUGAAGAUGAUGACGGUAGCCAGAGAAGAAGCCCCGGCUAACUCCGUGCCAGCAGCCGCGGUAAUACGGAGGGGGCAAGCGUUGUUCGGAAUUACUGGGCGUAAAGGGCGCGUAGGCGGAAUAUCAAGUUAGGGGUGAAAGGCCUGGGCUCAACCUAGGAACGGCCUCUAAAACUGAUAAUCUAGAGUCCGGAAGAGGAUGGCGGAAUU